rnacentral:ribozyme from 1 species
GGUGAUUUCAUUAAUAAUAAGAAAAGAUUUAAUAUGGUGCUUUCAUUAAUAAUAAGAAAAGUUUAAAUAAUAAUCAAUCUCAUAAUAAUAAUUUAAUUAACUCUUCAAUCCUUUUAUAAAAUUGGAGAGUAAGAGAAAAACAAUAAUAAUAACUUUUUCUAUUUUUUUUUUCCG